rnacentral:rRNA from 1 species
GCUCAGGACGAACGCUGGCGGCGUGCUUAACACAUGCAAGUCGAACGGGGUGUUUAUUUCGGUAAACACCAAGUGGCGAACGGGUGAGUAACGCGUAAGCAAUCUACCUUCAAGAUGGGGACAACACUUCGAAAGGGGUGCUAAUACCGAAUGAAUGUAAGAGUAUCGCAUGAGACACUUACUAAAGGAGGCCUCUGACAUAAGCUUCCGCUUGAAGAUGAGCUUGCGUCUGAUUAGCUAGUUGGUGAGGGUAAAGGCCCACCAAGGCGACGAUCAGUAGCCGGUCUGAGAGGAUGAACGGCCACAUUGGGACUGAGACACGGCCCAGACUCCUACGGGAGGCAGCAGU